GGAGAGAGAAGACCAUGUGAGGACACAGUGGGAAGGCCGCUGUCUGCAAGCCAGGCAGGGAGCUCUCCCCGGAAACGGAACCUGCUGGCACCGUGAUCUUGGCCUCCAGCCUCCAGCACCCCGAGAGAUGAGUGCUAUGAAACUGCUGCCGGGAACAAGAGAGCAGACUCAUAUGGAGAUGCAGAGGAAGCCUUUCUCGCUGGUCACCUGGGCUCGGGGUUUCCUGCUAGUUUCAAACGGCUGGGAGUAGCGAAAUCUAUGGUUGCGUUUUACCAUCUCCUCCCAAACUCUCCCUGAGGAUUGUUGAAAUGCAGCCCAGAGACGGAGACUGAGGCUCUGGGAGGUGAGGCGACCUGUGCAAGAUCACACAACUCGUCAACACAUCAAAAGGCCACUUCAGUCAACACAGUCAGGAUUCUGACGACCUCCGGCUUUACGUGAUUCAUAUGGAUGGGAUUUUUUUUUUAAUAUGUCGAAGAUUUCUACCAAGUUUGGGCUAAUUCUUCUCCACUUCACUUCGUAACAACAUUCAAGCUACGCUGCACUUGUCUCUGUCCAGCUCCCUACUGCUUCAGCCAGAGGAAACUGAGUCCGAGAGAGACGAUGGAGGGGAGAGCCAGCGCAGCACAGGCUGGGCUGCCCACCCCCUAGAAGGUGAAACUGAGGGUCAGAGUGGAGCUCUGGAGGUUAGGGAAGACUAGGGAGGGCAGAGAUGGGAGGUUGAGGGAUCAGGGAGAGGGGACAGAGGGACAGAGAGAGGAAGUUGAAAGGCACGGAAGGGGACACUCAGGGACAUAAGCAUGUACAUUUGUAAGAAUUCCUCACCCUCAAGAAUACAUUCAGGGGUAUUUUCAAGAAGAUAUUCAGUAUACUCGAGAAUAUAGUCAAUCAUAUUUACAGAUGAAAUGCUAUGGCUGGAAUUACUUCAAAAUAAUCCAGAUUUGGGAGAGGAGAGAAUGGAUGGGGACAAAGAUCAGACACGACUGGUCACACACUGAUCCCUGUUGACAUUGCACACGGUGCUCCUUACAUUAUUCUGUUUGCAUAUGUUUGAAA